rnacentral:rRNA from 1 species
AAUAUUGGACAAUGGGCGAAAGCCUGAUCCAGCCAUGCCGCGUUUGUGAAAAAGGUCUUCGGAUUUUAAAUCACUUUAAGUUGGGAGGAUGGGGUUGAAGCUAAUACCUUCAAUCUUUGACGUUACCAACAGAAUAAGCACCGGCUAACUCUGUACCAGCCGCCGCGGUAAUACAGAGGGUGCAAACGUUAAUCGGAAUUACUGGGCGGAAAGCGCACGUAGGUGGUUCGUUAAGUUGGAAGUGAAAGCCACGGGCUUAACCUGGGAAUUGCUUUCAAAACAGACGAGCUAGAGUACAGUAGAGGGUAGUGGAAUUUCCUGUGUAGCGGUGAAAUGCGUAGAUAUAGGAAGGAACACCAGUGGCGAAGGCGAGCACCUGGGCUAAUACUGAAACUGAGGUGCGAAAGCGUGGGGAGCAAACAGG